GCCUGAGUGGCUCAGUCGGUUAAGCGUCUGACUUCGGCUCUGGUUAUGAUCUCAUAGUUCGUGGGUUUGAACCCCAUGUCGGGCU
rnacentral:tRNA from 1 species